rnacentral:rRNA from 1 species
GAUGAACGCUGGCGGUAUGCUUUACACAUGCAAGUCAUACGGGAGUUAGUUUCGGCUAACUCCAGUGGCGGACGGGUGAGUAACACGUGAGAAUUCGCCUUUAGGAGGGGGAUAACAGGGGGAAACACCUGCUAAAACCCCAUAUGCCUUCGGGUCAAAAGAGUAAUCUGCCUAAAGAGAAGCUCGCGGCUGAUUAGCUAGUUGGUAGGGUAAAGGCCUACCAAGGCGACGAUCAGUAGCUGGUCUGAGAGGAUGAUCAGCCACACUGGAACUGAGACACGGUCCAGACUCCUACGGGAGGCAGCAGUGAGGAAUUUUCUGCAAUGGGCGAAAGCCUGACAGAGCAAUACCGCGUGAGGGAAGAAGGCUUACUGAGUUGUAAACCUCUGUUACCUAGGGAGGAAGAUCUGACGUUACCUAGGAGACGAAGCAUCGGCUAACUCCGUGCCAGCCGCCGCGGUAA